rnacentral:rRNA from 1 species
CACAAGCGGUGGAGCAUGUGGUUAAUUCGAAGCAACGCGAAGAACCUUACCAGGCCUUGACAUGCAGAGAACUUUCCAGAGAUGGAUUGGUGCCUUCGGGAACUCUGACACAGGUGCUGCAUGGCUGUCGUCAGCUCGUGUCGUGAGAUGUUGGGUUAAGUCCCGUAACGAGCGCAACCCUUGUCCUUAGUUACCAGCACGUUAUGGUGGGCACUCUAAGGAGACUGCCGGUGACAAACCGGAGGAAGGUGGGGAUGACGCCAAGUCAUCAUGGCCCUUACGGCCUGGGCUACACACGUGCUACAAUGGUCGGUACAAAGGGUUGCCAAGCCGCGAGGUGGAGCUAAUCUCAUAAAACCGAUCGUAGUCCGGAUCGCAGUCUGCAACUCGACUGCGUGAAGUCGGAAUCGCUAGUAAUCGUGAAUCAGAAUGUCACGGUGAAUACGUUCCCGGGCCUU